AUUGAACGCUGGCGGCAUGCUUUACACAUGCAAGUCGAACGGUAACAGGCCGCAAGGUGCUGACGAGUGGCGAACGGGUGAGUAAUGCAUCGGAACGUGCCCAGUCGUGGGGGAUAACUACUCGAAAGAGUAGCUAAUACCGCAUACGAUCUAUGGUUGAAAGCGGGGGACCGUAAGGCUUCGCGAGAUUUGAGCGGCCGAUGUCAGAUUAGGUAGUUGGUGGGGUAAAGGCUUACCAAGCCAACGAUCUGUAGCUGGUCUGAGAGGACGACCAGCCACACUGGAACUGAGACACGGCCCAGACUCCUACGGGAGGCAGCAGUGGGGAAUUUUGGACAAUGGGCGCAAGCCUGAUCCAGCAAUGCCGCGUGCAGGAAGAAGGCCUUCGGGUUGUAAACUGCUUUUGUACGGAACGAAACGGCUCUGGUUAAUACCCGGGGCUAAUGACGGUACCGUAAGAAUAAGCACCGGCUAACUACGUG
rnacentral:rRNA from 1 species